rnacentral:tRNA from 1 species
ACAGUGGUGGUUCAGUGGUAGAAUUCUUCUCUUCCAUGAGGGAGACCCAGGUUUGAUUCUUGGCAAAUGUA